rnacentral:rRNA from 1 species
GACGAACGCUGGCGGCGUGCUUAACACAUGCAAGUCGAACGAUGUGGCGAACGGGUGAGUAACGCGUAAUCACCCUGGCCUUCAGAGGGGGACAACAGUUGGAAACGACUGCUAAUACCGCAUACUGAAGGAGGGGACUGCGUCUGAUUGGCUAGUUGGAGGGGUAACGGCCCACCAAGGCGAUGAUCAGUAGGCGGGCUGGGCGGCGGAACGGCCAAAUUGGGACUUAGACACGGCCCAGACUCCUACGGGAGGGAGCAGGGGGGAAUCUUCCGCAAUGGAAGAAAGUCUGACGAAGCAACGCCGCGUGAGGGAUGACGGGCUUCGGGUUGGAAAGCUCUGUUAAUCGGGACGCGGUACCGGAAUAGAAAGCCACGGCUAACUACGUGCCAGCAGCCGCGGUAAUAC